GAGGUUGUGGCUCAGCGGUAGAGUGCUCGCUAGCACAUCUCUGUGUGAGGCCCUGGGUUCGAUCCUCAGCACCACA
rnacentral:tRNA from 1 species